rnacentral:rRNA from 1 species
GUUAAAGGUACCCGUACCGCAAACCGACACAGGUGGGUGAGGAGAGUAUCCUAAGGCCAGCGAGAGAACUGUUGUUAAGGAACUCGGCAAAAUGACCCCGUAACGUAGGGAUAAGGGGUGCCACCAUUAGGUGGCCGCAGAGAAUAGGCCCAAGCGACUGUUUACCAAAAACAUAGGUUUCUGCUAAGUCGCAAGACGAUGUAUAGGAGCUGACGCCUGCCCGGUGCUGGAA